UUGAAGCUGUAGAUAUUGAAAUUGCAGGAGCAUUCUGGUUUAGAGAACUGUUCAAGGACUUGAAACUUUUAGUCUGAUUCUCAUUAACUGAACCCUUCUCUUGAAGAACAGAUCUCGAAGCUGAAUUUUCGUUCUGUUCGCUUUUGCUUGUUUUGUCCUCUGAUCCGUUCCUUUCUUGCUCCUUAAUUUCCUCCAUGUACAUCUCUUCUACCAUUGGCUUCCAAAGCCGAAC
rnacentral:misc_RNA from 1 species